UACGGAGGGAGCUAGCGUUGUUCGGAAUUACUGGGCGUAAAGCGCACGUAGGCGGCUUUGUAAGUCAGAGGUGAAAGCCUGGAGCUCAACGUCCAGAACUGCCUUUGAGACUGCAUCGCUUGAAUCCAGGAGAGGUGAGUGGAAUUCCGAGUGUAGAGGUGAAAUUCGUAGAUAUUCGGAAGAACACCAGUGGCGAAGGCGGCUCACUGGACUGGUAUUGACGCUGAGGUGCGAAAGCGUGGGGAGCAACAGGG
rnacentral:rRNA from 1 species